GAUGAACGCUAGCUACAGGCUUAACACAUGCAAGUCGAGGGGCAGCACUAGGUAGCAAUACUGAGGUGGCGACCGGCGCACGGGUGCGUAACGCGUACCCAACCUUCCCGUUACUCUUGGAUAGCCUUCCGAAAGGGAGAUUAAUACAAGAUGGUAUUCAAAUUCCGCAUGUUAUUUGAAUUAAAGAUUUAUCGGUAACGGAUGGGGAUGCGUGACAUUAGAUAGUAGGCGGGGUAACGGCCCACCUAGUCUACGAUGUCUAGGGGUUCUGAGAGGAAGGUCCCCCACACUGGAACUGAGACACGGUCCAGACUCCUACGGGAGGCAGCAGUGAGGAAUAUUGGUCAAUGGUCGGAAGACUGAACCAGCCAAGUAGCGUGAAGGAUGAAGGUUCUAUGGAUUGUAAACUUCUUUUAUACGGGAAUAAAACACCUUACGUGUAGGGUCUUGUAUGUACCGUAUGAAUAAGCAUCGGCUAACUCCGUGCCAGCCGCCGCCGUAAAAC
rnacentral:rRNA from 1 species